UACGAGGGGGGCAAGUGUUGUUCGGAAUCACUGGGCGUAAAGGGAGCGUAGGCGGAUGUUUAAGUUGGAUGUUUAAAACCGGGGCCCAACCUCGGAGCGGCAUCCAAAACUGGGCAUCUUGAAUAGGUCAGAGGCUGGUGGAAUUGGAGGUGUAGCGGUGGAAUGCGUAGAGAUCUCCAAGAACACCUAUUGCGAAGGCAGCCAGCUGGGACCAUAUUGACGCUGGAGGCUCGAAAGCAUGGGGAGCAAACAGG
rnacentral:rRNA from 1 species